rnacentral:tRNA from 1 species
GUGGCUUAAUGGUAAAGCACCCAACCGGCAAUUGGGGGAUCUGGGUUCAAAUCCGGC